UGGGCCUUUGGCUUCCUGUCACACAGCCGUGCGACAAGGGGCAGGUUUCUGAAGGACCAGAGAGAAAAGGGGUCUGUUGUUCUCGGGGGCACAGGCUUGCUGGUGGCAUCCCGCACAGACACUCUCUCCUCACAGCUCCCACCACGGGGACUGGAGGCAGGAGGAGCCGACGGGCCCCUGGAACGGCCGCGGUGCGUCCCGAGGUGGGAGCCGCAAGCCCGAGGCUCGGCCGAGUCCCAGGGGACCCUAACGGAGGCCGGGCUGGAAGGCCAAGGUGGCUGCCACGUGGGAAGGUAUCCUUGACGUCCAGACCCUGGAGAAGGAAUCGGGAGCCACCACCCAAAGCAACUGUCCAGGAAAAGUGGUCGCGCUUCAGCCAUCGCGCUGGGCUAGGUCUUCCAAGCGAACCCCCUGUUGGAGCCUCUGCCGUCUAACGUCACCUAAUGUAGCCGAACCUGCCAAGACCCUGGCUACUUAACUGGAACCCAGACCAGGGCGAUCCCCAAGUGUUGCUAGCCCACCUUCCUCUUCCUCGACGGUGGCUCCAGCCCCUUCAUGUUGCCUCCAAGCUCCUGCCCAAGUGUUCCCACCCGCACUGCUGGGAGCAGCUCCUCUGUGUUUUCAGGGCCACUUUGCUGUCGUCCUUUGAAGGUUCUCUUGGCGACUCUAGGAAGACUCCGUGGUACAGGUGACCUUCUGUAUCUGUGGAGGAUCGGUUCCCAGAUACCCCCGCCCACGGAUCCCAAAAUCCCAGGAGCCAAGCCUUGUCUAAAGUGCCGGAGUGCAGCCUGGCCUCCAGAACGCGUGAGAACAGAGCAGCCGUACUCUGUUUCCAACGAGCCGAUGGCCAAAGCCCCGCCGUGCGUGUUCUCUAUGGACUGAACAGCCAGUGGCCCUGUAGCAGUGAAGCCUCACACCGUCCUCCAGGCUGGAAGGGACCCUUGAGUCACAGAACUUGCCAGUUUGCAAACAUGUCUCUAGUUGUAACAACUUUCAUCUGUCAAAUGAGGGCUCUUCAUUUCUAAGGUUCUAGAAGCCGGCCGUGGUCAUUUAGUCCCUCAGCUGGGUGUACUGAAAUCUGGGCCAGAGGCACAGCUUCCUCGCUAAGACACCCCCCCACCCCAGCACCCUGCACACACACACAGGCAGAGGCCAAGCUGCCUGCCUCCCCGCACCCCCUAGAAUGCUGACCACUGGGGACCGAGGGGCAGUUCCUACCUUUUACAUCCUUACAUACUGAAUCUGGCGCUGGCUCCUGGGCUGCAUCUUCUUAACUGCAAACACUCUAUACCAUCCCUCUCUGGUUCCACCAGCCACCACCCUCCUUCCGUGUCCUCCUCUGAACGUGCCUGAUAAAGGCUUUUGAGUGACUGAAUGAGUGGACGGCUCCCAUCUUCUGUCAUCUCAAUGAGUGCUGCUCCCCAGCUGACUGGAACCAGACGCCCUAGUUCCCAGGCUGGGUUUCCCUCCAGAUGUGUUCUCCUGCGGUGUCGGUUCCACCGUUAAACAGCUGUAUCGCUCAGCAGGUACGCAACGUUGAUGCGCCUCCAUUUCCUCCUCUGCAGAAUUGUGGGCGUUCCUGUCGUGGCUCAGCAGAAUCCGGCUUGUAUCCACGAGGAUGCGGGUUCUAUCCCUGGCCUCGCUCGGUGAAUCUGGGAUCCAGCCUUGCCGUGAGCUGUGGUGUAGGCCGGAAGCUGUAGCUCCAAUUUGACCCCUAGCCUGGAAACUUCCAUAUGCUGAGGGUUCGGCCUUAAAAACAACAACAACAACAAAAUAGUACUUACGUCAUAGGGUUGCUGUCAGCAUUAAAUGAGAGAGUCUGUUAAAAACGCCGAGAACAUUGCCUGGCAAUAUACAUUGCAGAAUACUCAAUAAAUAUUAGCUGGUGUUAUUUCAUACUUCAUCAAAC
rnacentral:lncRNA from 1 species